ACACCUGCGCGACGGCCUUGUCCGGGCGUCCGCCUGCGCAGCAAACUGGCCGCUUGAACGAAUCCAUUUCGACGACAUCGUGACCGCUCUCGCAAAAUCCUAUCGCCGGGCCCGCCGGCGCCGCCCGCGCGAAUGGGACACGGCCGGUCCGGAAGAGGUUCAUGAUUUCCGCAAGGCUGUCGUGGCCUUCCGCUAUCAGCUCGACCUCAUUGCGCC
rnacentral:misc_RNA from 1 species